GCCAAUUUCAGAUAUAGCCUACAUAUUUAAAUGCAAUUAAUAUGCACCAAUAGGGCUAAUCUUGAGAGUUUUAAUUGUUAGUCAGACAAUAACUCAGAUAAAUUCUAGUAAUUGCACUAUUUUUGUCGGUUUGAAAAGUUGUAUUUAUAAAGAUGAGCCGCAUCCAAAUUUAUGAACUAAAUUCCCGGCCACUAGUACAAUAGUGGGAGUGACCACUGGCUGCACACUUCAGAAUCCCAGCAGAUGCAGGCUACGUCAUGAGGGUAUUACUCACCUACUGCAUUAUGAAUAGUGGCUAUCUGGACAUCCUACUCAUUUGACGAGGUGUUUUUGCAUACUACAUAGUAGUGAAAUAUGUUCGCGCGCGUGGGUGGUGUGUGCGUGCGUGUCUGUUUGAGUAAGAAUCUGGCUGCGCGCACGUGUGCGGGGAUGUUCCAUUGACUUCUAUUAUCUUUACUGUUCUAAUUUCUGUCCCCUUUUUUCUCGUGUGGAAUAUUGGGAGGUGCAGGCAAACACUGACUAACAUUUAUUGAUAGACUGUCCAGCCCAGCUUUCAAUCAAGCCAGAGAGUCACGGCGGCGCCGACUCUUCAUUUCUGGUGUGUGCGCUCCCACGGGUCACUCCAAACCCAAGAGAGGGAGGUAUGGCCGCUUGUAAUUUUAGCAGAUUGAGAGGCAUUUCCCAUCGUAUAUUUAUUAUAGGUCUGCCGGUGCUACUGCUAGUCCAACUAACGGUGCCACGCGCGCAUAUAAUAACACGAGCGGGGACGAGCCUGCUUUUCUCGUCUUGAGCAUAGAGAAGAGUGACGGAUCAGCGUCGUCUGAGGUUAGAAAAAAUGAAGGGGAUUUGGAAAUCAGCGUGUUGGGUCUCUGGACUGACGAGGAUUCGAGACUGACAGGAUACAGGGACAAAAAAGAGCCUGAAGAACGCCAGGUUGUGGCUAGAGAGCUGAUACUGCAGCCAUGGGCAUCAGAACAACCCUCGUUUAUUGCAGAGUUGUAGCGUCUCACCCAGUCCCUCACCACAACAGAGAUGGAAAUCACACAUCUACACACUCUCCUGUUCACCCACAUGUUUUGUGCAUCAACCACUGGAAGGGCAAACGGGGUUGUGUGGCCCUAUAGUCAUUCAGGGUGUUAGGUUCAUCGGUUUGACCCCGGCAGUCGAGGGAGUCGAGAGCCUGCAUCUAUUAAGAAUCAUCGGGCUUGGUUAGACUGGAGAAAUCCACACCAUCAUGCAUGCCUCGUGGGUAAUGUACAACACAGGCUGCUUGACAUUAUGGAACUCUCUGGGCCACACCAUGGUUGAUGUUGGGCGUAUGGAUUUGGAGAGUGCUGAAUGGUGCAUAUUAGAAAGCUGGAUUAAGGAUGGAACUCUCAGAAGGAUCAGUCAGCUCAUUCUGACCAUUGAUCUGCAGUGGGCGGGGUUUGAGGUGGGUGGUGUCGAAGAGGAGGUGGUGCGUUUCUGGUACAGUGUACUUGAGAGCCCUCCACAUCUCAGGACUCCAACUCAUGCAUUCAGCACAUGGCCCGGGACACAUAGUGCUGAGACACAAACUGGCCCGCUCUCACAGCUCAUACACACUCAGCUGGAUGAGGACAAGCCAGUAGCCUAGAUAACCAACUGCAACAUCACUGCAAAAGACACUUAGAUGCAGAAGCAAAACUCUUAUGUGUCCAAGAGUACUUUAAACUAAAACAGCAUUGUUUAAUGAUGUUGACGUGUUGAAUACAUACAAACAGGCAAGACAUUUUUAAGAGGUAAAGUUGCAUAUUAGUAUUAUUUUGUUUCUUUCCACAGUCUAAGAAGUGCCGUCUAGUGGUUGUGAACGGUACUGCAAUGAUUAAAUCUAUCACGCUGUGAUAAUCCUUUAACAGCCAUGUUAAAUUAACGUCAUUUUUAUACAACAGGACUACGUGCAAUAUUUUACAAGUGCAUUGUUUUAUAUGAAAUAAACUGUACACAAUAAAAUGUUUAUUAGAAUUGUGUCCUGUUUGUUUUUCGGUGAGUAAUAAAAUGCUGGACUGCAUUUAAUUU
ensembl:lncRNA